UGCCAGCAGCCGCGGUAAGACGGAGGGGGCUAGUGUUAUUCGGAAUGACUGGGCGUAAAGGGCACGUAGGCGGUGAACUAAGUUGAAAGUGAAAUCCCAAAGCUUAACUUUGGAACUAUUUUCAAAACUGGUUCACUGGAGUUCGAUAGGGGAUAGAGGAAUUUCUAGUGUAGAAAUAGAAUUCAUAAAUAUUAGAAGGAACACCAGUGGCGAAGGCGGCUUUCUGGACCGAUACUGACGCUGAGACGCGAAAGCGUGGGGAGCAAACAGGAUUAGAUA
rnacentral:rRNA from 1 species